GGUGGGGAAUGGGAUCUGGGACUGUGUGGUGGGGAAUGGGUUCACGGUCUGUGUGGUGGGGAAUGGGAUCAGGGUCUGUGUGGUGGGGAAUGGGUUCACGGUCUAUGUGGGGGAAUGGGAUCUGGGUCUGUGUGGGGGGGAAUGGGAUCUGGGUCUGUGUGGUGGGGAAUGGGUUCACGGUCUGUGUGGUGGGGAAUGGGAUCUGGGUCUGUGUGGUGGGGAAUGGGUUCACGGUCUGUGUGGUGGGGAAUGGGUUCACAGUCUGUGUGGGGGGGGAAUGGGAUCUGGGUCUGUGUGGGGGGAAUGGGAUCUGGGUCUGUGUGGGGGAAUGGGAUCUGGGUCUGUGUGGUGGGGAAUGGGUUCACGGUCUGUGUGGUGGGGAAUGGGUUCACGGUCUGUGUGUGGGGGGAAUGGGAUCUGGGUCUGUGUGGGGGGAAUGGGAUCAGGGUCUGUGUGGUGGGGAAUGGGUUCAAGGUCUGUGUGGUGGGGAAUGGGUUCACGGUCUGUGUGGGGGG
ensembl:lncRNA